UCCUCGAUAGCUCCGUCGGUAGAGCGCCGGACUGUUCAUCCGUAGGUCCCUGGUUCGAGCCCGGGUCGAGGGG
rnacentral:tRNA from 1 species